rnacentral:rRNA from 1 species
ACAUGCUUACAACAUAGCGUUAAUGCAUCGGAUUCCAUUAGAACUUUGCAGUUAAGCACGCUCAAGAUAGAGUAGUACUGGGAUGGGUCACUGCCUAAGAAGUCCUAGUAUUUUACAUGCC